rnacentral:rRNA from 1 species
UACGGAGGGUGCAAGCGUUAUCCGGAUUCACUGGGUUUAAAGGGUGCGUAGGCGGGUUGGUAAGUCAGUGGUGAAAUCUCCGGGCUUAACUCGGAAACUGCCGUUGAUACUAUCAAUCUUGAAUGUUGUGGAGGUAAGCGGAAUAUGUCAUGUAGCGGUGAAAUGCUCAGAUAUGACAUAGAACACCGAUAGCGAAGGCAGCUUGCUACACAAUUAUUGACACUGAGGCACGAAAGCGUGGGGAUCAAACAGG